AUUGAAACACUGAUUCUCACAUGAUCACCAAAGUUAAGCAACAUCGAGCCUGUUCAAUACCUAGAUGGGUGACUUCUUGGGAAUACUAGAUGCUGUAA